rnacentral:lncRNA from 1 species
CAUCCUCUUUUAAGUUGUUCGGGUAUAAAUAAAAACUGCCUAUUAAUUCUAAGGAUAGGUAUAAGUUCAAGUACAAGAAAUAACUAGACAAAUUUUGUAUUUGAAUGAAAAUUGACUGCUCCCAAUAAUAAGAAAAAUAACGUAUGGUUAGAUAGAAUGUAAUAAGAAAAAUAAUGAUUAGCUAUAAAUAAAAAAUAAAAUAAAAAAUAAUGAUAUUACUCCUUUCAUUAUAUUUGAAUUUAAAAUUUAAAAUUUUAUAUUUAUAUUUUUAA